rnacentral:rRNA from 1 species
UCCUACGGGACGCAGCAGUGAGGAAUAUUGGUCAAUGGCCGGAAGGCUGAACCAGCCAAGCCGCGUGAAGGACGAAGGUGCCAAGCAUUGUAAACUUCUUUUGUCAAGGGACAAAAUCAGGCUCGAGAGCCUGACCGAGGGUACUUGAAGAAAAAGCAUCGGCUAACUCCGUGCCAGCAGCCGCGGUAAUACGGAGGAUGCGAGCGUUAUCCGGAUUUAUUGGGUUUAAAGGGAGCGUAGGCCGGCUUUUAAGUCAGCUGUGAAAGUCCGCGGCUCAACCGUGGAAUUGCAGUUGAAACUGGAGG